AGAAAAUAUGCGUAGGUUUUCAUUUAAAAGUACUGCUCAUAUCGUAUACGAAAUUUACAAACGUACUAAAAUACAAAAUUGAUACUCAAAAAAUUUUAAAAGUUUGGUCAAGUUCGAGCCUCCCUCUAUGCUAUCGUCGAACUUUAUCGCACCCUCCACACCAUUCCAUCGCUAUUCUGUUAGGAUCUAACCGUUUGAUAGCUCUGACAUGUGGGCUCGGGUAAGAAAAAUAUCGCUAUUGCCCUUUCAGUUACGGGCCCCACCUGUCAUUCUCUCACCUCUCUAUUUCCCCUCUUCUCCUCUUCAUCUUUCUCUCGUGAGCAGCGGUGGCCGGCAGCCGGUGACGGGCGACCCAUGGCGGCGGCGACCGAGGAGGCACCCUCAACCUCAACCUCACCAUCGGCCCCUUCCCCCGAAGCCCCAGCCCUCGCGGCCGCCCGCGCGCGCGUCAUCGUCGUCUCGACGCGCCACCUCCUAGCACCAUCCAAACUGGCGGCGGCGAGGCCCACACGCCGGGGAGAUGGGAGGGAGGCUCGGAGGGAGAGGGACGUCGCGCUCCAUCGAGUCACAUGGCGGAGGGAAGGGGUGCGAUAUAGGUUGUCGUCGUCGCACAGCACCACCCCGUCGUCGUCGUCGCAGCGCCGCCCUCGUCGUCGUCGUCGCAGCGCUGCCCCCGUCGUCGUCGUCGCAACGCCGUUCCCAUCUUCGUCGUCAUCGCAACUGCCGCCGCCGCAACAGCCGCGGCGUCAAGGUGGCAAGGCAGCCAAGCGGCGCCGGUGGCCAGCCGAGGCGGUGCUCGGUGGCGCGGCAGCAAGGCGGCCAAGCGGCGCUCGGCCUUCUCCUCGCUGGCUCGCUCCUGCGCCGCAUCGCCGUGCUCGACCCUGCCACCGCCGCCGUCGACGUAGGUGACGCCGCACCCUCGCCACGCCCAUCGGAAUCUGGCAAGCUCCACGCCGGCGACCUUGCCACCGCCGCCGUCGACGCAGGUGAGUAGCGGGGUCGUCGUCGGGGAUGCGCUGGAUCCUCGCCGCCAUGGGGGCCGCCGAGGAGGCCGCGGCGUCCGCGGCCGCCACCGCCGCCGUCCAGUGCUCUUCGUCGGUGGUGCCCUCCGUCCCGGCUCUCUCUCUCUUCUCUCUCAACCCUAAGGACAACAAAGUCAUUUGACUGCGCUGUUUGACACUGUUAGGACUAAAAACAGAUGGAAUAGUGUGGAGGGCGCGAUAAAGUUCGACGAUGGUAUAAAGGGAGGCUUGAACUUUUUAGUGACAGAAGGCAGGGGUCAUCUUUUUUAACGCGCACAGGCAAAAGCAAAAGUAAAAGCAGCUGGACAGCUGGUUGCGUGUGGCUCGCUGGGUGUGUGUGUCCUGCAGUAAUGUGUGCCUGUGAGGUGCAACUACUGUACAAGCUAGGGGUAGCUAGCUAGCGCCUAGGGUUAGCGCCCAGAGCCCCAGAGGAAGGCAUAGGCUAUCGAUCUCUCCCUCUCUGCCCUGCCUUUCUUGUUCGCUCGCUUAGAGAGAGAAGCAGCAUGGAGAGCGGAGGGCCGGGCGGGUAGCAGCUCCCCUCAGUUCCCCUCAGUUCUUCUUCCUCCCUCAGUUCUUUCUCCACCUCAGUGACUCCCACAGAGACCAUGAUUCACUCCGGCGGCCGCGGCCGCCGCCGCCGCCGUCGCCGUCGCCGCGGGAGCAAAGGGCCGUACGAGCGCGGCGGCGGCGGCGACGGGGACCAAGCUGCCAAGGGCUGCAUGGACGCGGCGGCGACGGGCGCAAAGACAGUUCUCCGGCGACUCUACGCUGUGCAAGAAGAAGGACAACACGCUGGACGAGGUGAAGGAGGUCGUCCAUGUGAAGCAAGAUGCUCCUCCACCAUCUUCUUUCUUGCCCAAUUCCUCGGGGUUACAAUCAUUAUUUGUCAAGGCAUGUGGGGUUAAUAUAUCUGUACAAGUGGAUUUAUCUAACACAAAAGUUGAUUAUCUAAUCAACUCUGCUUGUCAAAAGAUGAGAGUAAAUGUUAAGGACACAUAUGCAGUAUUAUGUGGAAAGAUUUUAGAGUACAAUAAGUCAAUAAGUCACUGUCAGACUAUCCUUUAUAUCGGAAUUCAACGAUUGAAAUCCGUUUUCGAGGAAGAGCCGGCCAGCCCAUGACAUUUGAUGAGAAGUUUGAUGAUAUCCAUGCGAACACAUGGUUCUACACGGUUGAUUUAGUACCUGCACUUCAACGUCAAACUCGUACAAAUCCGCCGGUUCUACCAUGGUUAUCAGUAAGAUACUUCUCGGACUUUGCAUCAUACAACAUCCAAAAGGUUUUGAACCACAUCACUGCAAUGCACUGGGAAAACCUGAGCUACAAUGGCGCUUUCAAUAGCGACAACAUCAUAUUUCACAAUGGUGCUGUUACCAUCCAGGGUGUUCUUACAGUACAAUUUAAUGGUGUGACAUGUGCAAAAGAUUUUGCAAAGCUUUAUUCCAUAUUCAUUGCAAAAUUUACACCACAUGGUAUUCCAUUGUACUUUAAUGAUCUGCUUGAGUACUUGAGGAAUUGUCCAAAUGGAGAGAAUUCCAAUGAUGAGGCUAUUGUGGCAUUUAUUAUCAAUCACCCCUGUCUCCAAUCUUAUUUAGAGAGGAUGUCACAAUUAGAGCAUCUUGAUAACAUUUAUCCUAGACAUCCUGGACAUUCUACAACAAAUAUAUCUGCUCUGGGAACAUUUUCUUGGCAAGACAAAGUCGUCAGGUCCCAGAAUUACGUCGUGCUUUUAUUUAUGGUCCCAAUGGAAGAGCAUAUUUGGUAAAUGGAGUGUGGCAUAAUCUAAAUCCUUUGUAUACUAAUGAUCCAAAAGGAUGCCUUCACUUUGCAAACAACUUCUUGAAACAUGCACAAAACAGAUUCAUGUUACAUGAAGUUGAGGCUGCAUUUUCAAAUUGCCUGGAGGAAUAUCUACCCCAUGUAUUAAAAGCGAUAGCGCGCCUUGCUCAACAUAACCCCCAAGGCCGGCAGUAUCUAGUUGACGUGCUUUCGAACAAAAACGCAGAUAAAUCGUCAGGAAACUAGGUUGGAGAGAUUUCGUGACAGGAAACUAGAUUCAUAGAUGAAGCAGCAAUCUGGAGGUGCUGCGAAUGAGUCGUAUCUUGCUCGCCUCAUGGAGGCAUGUAUCUUCUUUGUUUCUUUGGACCGGUGUUGUAUGUGUUGCAGCAUGGCGGGAUGGCGGCAUGCUGGAAUACAAAGAAAAACAACCAUAGUUGUUGUACCGUAUGAACAUCACUGCAUUCGCUCUUAAUUUAGUAGUACUAGUAACUUGUUGUGCUGCAGGAGUACUACUAUUAUCAUUACUACAUGUUUGUAUGCCUGUCU